GGGGGGGGGGGGCAUAAAAAAAUAUAGCUUCAAUCACAUCUUUUAUUGCGUCGACUUGUAGACAGUAACCCUGAUGAUUUCUAUUUUUAAGUUUUUACCAUUUUUGCGUUCAUGUACUUACAAUGUAUUUUUGUCUGAAUUAGUAAUUGUUUUAGAUAUGUAUAUUGAUAAUGAACAUUCAUGUAUCAUAUUUUUUACAAAGUAUAAUUUCAUUUUAAAAUGUUCCAUAAAAGAGGGUCUGAUUGGGGUUUACGGAAUAUAGAAUAAUGGGCAAAAAAUUGCAGAAU
rnacentral:lncRNA from 1 species